AUCUGAUGUUGCCUCUAAAAGGCCUUAGGGAUGAGCUCACUCCUUGCUCAUUCUUGUCUUUUUCCUUUCUUGGAAGAUUGAUGAUGCAUUGUAUAUGGGUUGUCAUCCUUGGAGCUUGUGGAGGCCGAAAAUCGAGAAGGAUGGGAAUGAGGGAAACACUUAGAUUUAGUUGCUCUAUUUGGCUAGUAUCCGAAUAUUGUAGUUUGGCAUCUUUGAAAUGCUAAGUUGUAGCUUCCACUUUUGUAUUUUCCACAUGUAACUAUUAUUUAGCAAAAUCUCACACCUCUCAAUAAGAUUGUGUAGUCCUUUUCCA